UUCAAGUGCAGUCGUGGGUUUCUAUGUCUAACGUUAAACCGUCCGUCUUAUUUAAAAUUUUUUUAAAUUAAUAUCUUUAUUGUUAUUAUAUAAUAAAACGUGAAUAAUACUUUAUGCGUGACUUAUUUUUUUUAUUAAUUUUUUAAAUAAGACAAACAGUUAAACGUUGGAUAUAGAAAUCUAUAUCUAUAUUUAAA
rfam:Oryza glumipatula chromosome 9, whole genome shotgun sequence.